rnacentral:lncRNA from 1 species
AUCCGUUUCACGCCAGCUUUCGACCUCGCAUCCAAUGGAUGGAAACGAAGCGGCAGAGCUGAAGCCGCUUUCUAACGCGACUGCUGCCACCUCCGCCGCUGCGUCCGUCUCAUUAUCGAUGGCUGGCACAAGCCAAUGCAUCGAAACGAAAGAAACUCGUUAUUAGAAGUAAGCGGAUCAGGAUGAUAGUCGGCUAGCAGUCGUGUGCGCCCCAUCAUGCGCCCCUGCCACGUCUACCCCUUUGGGCGGUCCCUGAGUCGGUUACUCCGUUGGCCGGUCGCUACAAAUAUAUAUCGGUCCCGCAUUGGUGCUUGUGACGCUAUCGGUUACCAUUGCGAUGCUGGCAGCCUCCGUCCUUUCUGGCAUGCGACAACGGAUAUUAUCUGCUAAUGUCAGUCUUUUCCCUAUUCCUAGCCGAAAAUUGUUUCAGUAGCAGCAACGGCGGUGGCGGCUGCCACAACUAAACCCGGUGGCCAAAACCCAUGGCUGAAUGUGACUGGAAGAGGGUUUAAGUGUUCGUCAGGAUUGCCGGUUCGUUGACGCCUUUGAGCAUUCGACUGAAGAAGCGGCAUACCAAAUUAACAUACGCAAUAUCGGAUUAGCGGUUAUGGCUGAGACAUGUUUAUACGUUCGCUGAGGUGUCGCGAAAUCAUUUUCACUGCAGCGGAUGGAAGGCGGUACUGCUAAUCGGCUGAGCUCCUACGACUGCUGAGGCACUUCAGCGUUCAGGUGUGGUCAAUGUCCCGUGGGUCAAGUCAAGCGCGAUCCGAGGUUCGAGGGGAAGUCCCACCCGACGACAACCAAAAGCGGUAAGCCAAGGGCAUUUUGCGGCCUUCGGAAGUAAGCAAACAGGUCUGAGCAUUUUUCUAUCAUAACUUCGAUCAGAAGCAAAAAAGACCACAUCCUCAUGUACACGUAUUGCCGUGGACGACGAAAGACUCAAUGAAAAAAAAGCAGUCUUUCGACUGAAGCUAGUAACCGGCUGUCAAGGAGAAGGCUAAAUCUUGGAGAUCUGCUCCGGACUCAACCAAAAAAGCGAGCUAUAAAAUCAUAUUAUGUAUUGAGUGCCUAGGGAGGCAAGGCACCAAAGGAUCAAGUGGUCAUCGUUGGAAGCGAGCUUCAGAAGGAGAUACCGCCUGAACGAAACACUACUUAUAAGAAAAAGACCCGUUUACAGGGCUUACUACUUAUUAUAUCGAGCAAGUUUUAAACUGCAUAGAUAUCAUGCAAAGUAAAAUACAGCAUAUAAACCAGGUCCAUAAAUAUGUCGCUUUUGUACACAUACUCACCAGACGGCAUUAGGAGCAAUUCCGCUUUGUCCGUUUAAAUGAAGCGAGCAAACUAUUACACUUCGUUUGAACGCAAUCGGGCUGAAACUGCUUUGCCACCCUGCGACACAAUCCCCGUUACCAUAUUGCGUUUAUCCUGCUAUUCGAAGAUGAAGCAGACUUUAACUUUCAAUAUCCCAUCCAGAGGUAAGGUUGCUCGAGAAGUUCGCAGGGCGGAAUCGUUAAUGAACCUACGAAGUGUUUAACUGUCUUUCUAGAAAAACGCCGUUUUUGGUGCUUAAGACGGCAAAAUUAAAAGCCCAACUCUUUAUUAUCCAAUUGAUGUUCUUAUGCGGUGCUAUAAAGAGACUAGAAAAACUUCUGCAUCUAUUUGAAUGCUUGCUUUCAAAAUCUACAACGAUUACCGAAAAACCCAUUGGAAAAAAAAGUACUUUCCUAGUUUACAUCGAUGUCUUACGGAGGGGCGUUUUUAAGAUUUUUAACACAAACCGAACACGUUACCCCCAAACAUGUUGUGUUUUCUUGCCUAUCCAGGUCUCUUUUCUCUCUUUAGAUAGCACGACGCCAUUUCUUUUUGUUUCGCUUUCGUCCAUUUGGAUCCAUCUUGUUCUUGCCAGAUUCAUUUCUUGUCUCUCUUGAACAUAACUCUGUAAGCUGGUAGUUUCACGAAGCAGACCCCUAAAAGACAUAGAUACACCAGUAUCCAUUUGUCUAGGCGUAAACUGCCCCGCGCAGUGAACGGCCGCAGGAAAUCAAGGUAAUUCGAUCAGUGGCUACCACGUAGCAGCAGAAGAAGGAACUUCGACAGCAGGCUUAGCGAAGCAUUUCUGCGACCCCCUGUCUCUACCUCUCUUUUCACGCAAGACGUAUGUGACUGAGCACUGCUAACAAACCUAAAGGGCCUAUAGCAUACAGAUUGACAGCAGAUGUCAGCUGUUGGCCGGCGUUUAGACGAAAAGAACACUACGAGAAUUUCGAUAUUAAAACCUA